UAAUACGGAGGAUGCGAGCGUUAUCCGGAUUUAUUGGGUUUAAAGGGUGCGUAGGUUGUUGUUUAAGUCAGCGGUGAAAUUUUGCAGCUUAACUGUAAACUUGCCGUUGAAACUGGAUAACUUGAGUGUAUUUGAAGUAGGCGGAAUGCGUGGUGUAGCGGUGAAAUGCAUAGAUAUCACGCAGAACUCCGAUUGCGAAGGCAGCUUACUAAACUAUAACUGACACUGAAGCACGAAAGCGUGGGUAUCAAACAGG
rnacentral:rRNA from 1 species